AAAGGCCCAAUUGCUUUUUAAAAAGUGUCUUUUAUUCAUGUUACAGAGUACAACAUGAUGUGGAAAAGUUCUGAAGUUCCAAGGUGACAUCUCUUUCAUGAAAAGGAUGCAAGUAAGAGGAGAAGCUUGGAAUCAUGCUGGCCACACGACCAGGAGGUGUCUAUGGACAACGCAGGAUCCUUGGCUUGGAAAUGGAAAUGAGCACCUUCCCCAGAGCCGGAGAUGAGCAUCGCCUCCAGAGCUGGAAAUGAAAGGAGAAGCCAUUGUCUUUGUCUGUAUAUUUGUGUUUCAUUGGAUUUCAUUGUAACAAGGCAUUCAAUGUUUGCCUGUAUCUGUUUAUGUGCUGGAAUCUGCUCUGGGUCCCCUCAGGGAGAAGGGAGGAAUAUAAAUAAAGUGAUUUAUUAUUAUUAUUA